rnacentral:rRNA from 1 species
UACGGAGGGGACGAGUGUUACUCAUAAUGACUGGGCGUAAAGGGUAUGUAGGUGGUUUAUUUAGUUAAAUAGUAAAAGAAUAGAUUAAAAAGUUUAUAGGACUAUUUAAAAACGUUUUAGACUAGAGUAUAGGAGAGGAAUAUGGAAUUUUUAGAGAAAAGGUAGAAAUUUUAUAAAUAAAUAAAAAAGACGAUCAAAAAGCGAAGGCGAUAUUCUGGAUUAUUACUGACACUGAGGUACUGAAGCAUGGGGAGCAAAUCGG